GCACUGCUUCAGCUGCAGUGACGUCACACGGGCACUCAUUAGCUCCUUUUACUCAACUUUAAAGUCCGAAUGCAGCUGAGAUAAGCUCCAGCGACGCCAAAAGGGACAAGCGCAUCCGACGGUCGGUGGCGGCCGGUGGGAGGAGGCAAGAGAGUCCACAGCUGCAGGAGAAAGGACGCAAACUCUCCGCUCAUGUCUACGCUCCAGAGAGCCAUUAGUGCGGCGCUAAAGAGCCGAAUGGGGCUGUGGAGCCGCGGGUUGCCGACGCCCGUUCUGACCAGACCACUCCUAGUCAGGUGACCUGGACCAGGAAGUGAGUGGGUGGAGCUUCUACACGGAUGACCCACAUGGACCACCUUUGAUCCAGCUUCCGACCCGAGGUCAAAGACUGCCUCCUGGAUCCCGACCUCCCGCUUGGACACGGACUUCCUACGCCCCACUUCGCCCCCAACUUGCUGGUUGCCUCAUGGGCAUUCGAGCCCGCCUUCUCCACCUGAUCUUCCGCCUAUCGCCCAACACUCCCGGUAACAUACUCAUUAAUUCCUACACAUAGUCCCACACCAUACACACCUUUGGAUUUUUGUCACCCUCCAUUUCUUUAUAUUAUUUUUUAUUAUAUAAUAUGUAUAUAGUCAUUAUAUAUAUGUAUAUAGUCAUUAUAUAUGAUAAAACAUAGAGCUUCUACGCCCCCUUGUG